rnacentral:rRNA from 1 species
GCCCCUAAGUCUGGGAUACCAUUUGGAAACAGGUGCUAAUACCGGAUAAUAAAGCAGAUCGCAUGAUCAGCUUUUGAAAGGCGGCGUAAGCUGUCGCUAAGGGAUGGCCCCGCGGUGCAUUAGCUAGUUGGUAAGGUAACGGCUUACCAAGGCGACGAUGCAUAGCCGAGUUGAGAGACUGAUCGGCCACAUUGGGACUGAGACACGGCCCAAACUCCUACGGGAGGCAGCAGUAGGGAAUCUUCCACAAUGGACGCAAGUCUGAUGGAGCAACGCCGCGUGAGUGAAGAAGGUUUUCGGAUCGUAAAGCUCUGUUGUUGGUGAAGAAGGAUAGAGGUAGUAACUGGCCUUUAUUUGACGGUAAUCAACCAGAAAGUCACGGCUAACUACGUGCCAGCAGCCGCGGUAAUACGUAGGUGGCAAGCGUUGUCCGGAUUUAUUGGGCGUAAAGCGAGCGCAGGCGGAAAAAUAAGUCUAAUGUGAAAGCCCUCGGCUUAACCGAGGAACUGCAUCGGAAACUGUUUUUCUUGAGUGCAGAAGAGGAGAGUGGAACUCCAUGUGUAGCGGUGGAAUGCGUAGAUAUAUGGAAGAACACCAGUGGCGAAGGCGGCUCUCUGGUCUGCAACUGACGCUGAGGCUCGAAAGCAUGGGUAGCGAACAGAAUUAGAUACCCUGGUAGUCCAUGGCCGUAAACGAUG